CAAGUACUCCCUCCGUCCAAGAAAACUUGUCCCAAACUUGUUCCUCAAAUAGAUGUAUCAAGCACUAACUUGAUGCUACAUACAUCCAUUUGUGGGACAAGUUUUUCCGGAUGGAGGGAGUAGCUG
rfam:Triticum aestivum genome assembly, contig: Triticum_aestivum_CS42_TGACv1_scaffold_289765_4AL